AGUGGCGCACGGGUGAGUAACACGUGACUAACCUACCCUUGAGUGGGGGAUAACUGAGGGAAACCUUAGCUAAUACCGCAUAAUACCCACGGGUCAAAGGAGCAAUUCGCUCGAGGAGGGGGUCGCGGCCGAUUAGUUAGUUGGCGGGGUAAUGGCCCACCAAGACGAUGAUCGGUAUCCGGCCUGAGAGGGCGCACGGACACACUGGAACUGAAACACGGUCCAGACUCCUACGGGAGGCAGCAGUGGGGAAUUUUGCGCAAUGGGGGAAACCCUGACGCAGCAACACCGCGUGGAGGAUGAAGUCCUUCGGGACGUAAACUCCUUUCGAUCGGGACGAUUAUGACGGUACCGGAAGAAGAAGCCCCGGCUAACUUCGUGCCAGCAGCCGCGGUAAUACGAGGGGGGCGAGCGUUGUUCGGAAUUAUUGGGCGUAAAGGGUGCGUAGGCGGUUUGGUAAGUCUUGUGUGAAAUCUAUGGGCUCAACUCAUAGUCUGCACGAGA
rnacentral:rRNA from 1 species